ACUAUCAGCUAUGGAUUUUCUUUUUACCUUGUUUUUUCAACCUGUCCAGUUGGUUGCGGCAAUACACCUUUUGUGUUGUAGUCCGCCAUAAAACCCACAUUUUUAGCUUCCAAGCUAGCUAGAGCCAACGGAAGUGCAUGUCAUGCAAGCUACCGUGUUUUUAGUAACCAACCUAGCUAGCUAAGUUAGCUAGCCAGCUAACGCCGUUAGCGUUGUCUUGCUGAAUUUGCCCAGUGCUAGCAAACAACAGACGUUUUUACAUUUGACUUUGGAGUUUUUAUAGUCGGUGAGGGUUUACAGGUAGCUUGCUGUCUUAAGUAGUGGAGUAGAGUGACAAGGGCUCUCUUUUUUUUUGCCAGGAGGUUGUGUCGAACUAAAUUUAUGGGUCAAAACUGGUGAAACCUGCCCGUUUGGUUGGUAUAAACUUUUUUUUAACACAUCCAUUGAGAUGUAUUUACAGAACUAGCUUGCUAUAACACAGGUCAGGCAUUUACACCUUGAGCAAUGAAGCUUCAGUGCGAUGUCGAAGUGGUCAAUCGAAUGCUUCCCACGUAUGGGAUAAAAAACAGAGGAAAGGGAGUAAGGGCUGUGUUGCCUAUUGGGAGACUUGUUGACAAGACCACAGAAUGCAACAACAUUUAUCUAAUGAUCUGUACAGCAAAUGAUAGGGCAGGCUCAAAAUAUAAGCUAAAAGAAAACAUUGAAACAUGCUUCACUAGAUUUGUUGCAGAGGGCGAAGCCACUGUGAUACUGAAGGAGUCUGCUCUUGACAUCUGCUUGAGUAAGGUUUCAGGCUGACACUAACAGCUUGGUUGCCUCACAGCCUCCCCCUCUCUACACUCACACCCGCCCGAGCCAGGGAUGUGGAGAAGCCCAAGAAGAAGCUCACUAUUGUAUCCAAGAAGGACUAUCCACUGACCUCCACUUUCCCCAACUCAUUAGAGCCGCUCCAGGUGUCUUACUGCAAGCUCUCACGGAUGGAAAUGCGAAUGCUCUCACUCAAGGUGCUGCGCAGACUGGACCUCAGUAAUAAUAUAAUAAUAAUAAUAAUAAUAUGCCAUUUAGUAGACACUUUUAUCCAAAGCGACUUACA